GUUUUUUUAAGGUAUUGGGUCAGCUAACAGAGACUGGAGUUGUCAGCCCUGAACAAUUUAUGAAAUCUUUUGAGCAUAUGAAGAAAUCUGGGGAUUAUUAUGUUACAGUUGUAGAAGAUGUGACUCUAGGACAGAUUGUUGCUACGGCAACUCUGAUUAUAGAACAUAAAUUCAUCCAUUCCUGUGCUAAGGUAUGUGCUGCUUAUAAAUAAAAUGGACAGCUGUUUUCUAGCA
rnacentral:ncRNA from 2 species